GUAAAGUGUCUGUUUGAUACCAGAACAAAGUCCAUUUGCAGUGGAUUGUGAGGGAUUCACUCUCCUCCUGAAGCACAUCGAGGCUGAAGGGAAUACAUCCUGAGCUCAGCUGCCGGUUCUGCGGACCCAGUGUGUGACAUCCCUGUGGAAUUGCAGAGAACUACCCGCGGGAUUGUACAGCGGAGCAAUGGCGGAGCCCAGACUUCGGUGAGGAGGACUAAAAGGAAAAAGGGUCAGUUGGAGGCUCUCGGUCACAUGACAUGAACACGACCUAUAGCAUCUCUCCUUAUGUUUGACAUCUCACUGGCCUGUUGUUCCAGUCACCACAGUGCCGAACGCAUCCACCGGACAGAUU